GUCCCCGUAGUUCAAUGGAUAGAACGAUUCCGUCCUAAGGAAAAAAUGUGGGUCCGAUUCCUGCCGGGGACACCA
rnacentral:tRNA from 1 species